rnacentral:rRNA from 1 species
GAUGAACGCUGGCGGCGUGCCUAAUACAUGCCAGUCGAGCGAACGGACGAGAAGCUUGCUUCUCUGAUGUUAGCGGCGGACGGGUGAGUAACACGUGGAUAACCUACCUAUAAGACUGGGAUAACUUCGGGAAACCGGAGCUAAUACCGGAUGAUAUUUUGAACCGCAUGGUUCAAAAGUGAAAGACGGUCUUGCUGUCACUUAUAGAUGGAUCCGCGCUGCAUUAGCUAGUUGGUAAGGUAACGGCUUACCAAGGCAACGAUGCAUAGCCGACCUGAGAGGGUGAUCGGCCACACUGGAACUGAGACACGGUCCAGACUCCUACGGGAGGCAGCAGUAGGGAAUCUUCCGCAAUGGGCGAAAGCCUGACGGAGCAACCCCGCGUGAGUGAUGAAGGUCUUCGGAUCGUAAAACUCUGUUAUUAGGGAAGAACAUAUGUGUAAGUAACUGUGCACAUCUUGACGGUAUCUAAUCAGAAAGCCACGGCUAACUACGUG